rnacentral:tRNA from 1 species
CAUGGCCCAGCGGUCAAGACACAAGGGUGCGAACCUGAUGGUCGUAGGUUCGAGCCCGGU